rnacentral:lncRNA from 1 species
UGUUGGAUUGAUAGAUCACCCGACUCAAGUUAAAGCUGUUGGAUUGAUAGAUCAUCCGACUCAAGUUAAAGCUGUUGGAUUGAUAAAUCAGUCGACUCAAGUUGAAGCUAUUGCAUUGGAAUACCAGCCAACACAAGUUAAAGUUAUUAAACUUAAAAAUCAAUCGACUCAAGUUGAACCUGUUGAAAAGAAAAUAGACAACAAUCCCGAAG